GUACAGAGCAUAGAGGGAAGUGACUAGAGAGGGUGGGGUUAAAAUGCAAAAAAGCCUGCUUGGAAGGAGGGAAAGCAAAGUGGGAUGAAGAAUCCCCUGAUGGUCUUAAUUCCUAUAUACCUGCACUGUACUUGGGCAUGAAUUGAAAUGAUUGAAUUAUUCUGGCAGGACUAGCCCUUGGAUUUUUUGAUUGGCCACCACCUUGAGGCAAAAGAUAACAUCGUAUAUCUGGGGACCGAUCAAAACGAAAAAUCAUGUAUCUGAGGACCCUCCCACUUGCAGAGCCACUAAGCAUUGGACUUCAUGGCCAGGGGAGGUCAAUGAUGUUAUUCUCCUGUCUUAAUCUCCCUAUGGGCCAUGGUAAUCACAUGACACUAUACACACUUGACUACUCACACAGCCCUGUCGGCAACCGUCCACAGAAAGGGUCUAGAAGGGAGGUGGUGGCUCUGCCUAACUGGGACACCUGACCAUCACCGUGACUGCAAUUUUGUCCAUGGAAAAGAGCAAGUUCAUUUUCGUGAAGCAACCAAGACAAUAAAUUUGCCGUCCAGAAGUUUGCUGGACAUUCAAAUGGUCAUAAAUUGUAAUACAGCACUUAUUUUACA